GGCCCCUUCCCAUCCCAUCCACUCUUCCCACAUGUCCCAAUCUGGAUCGUCCAUUCCUCUCAUUGGCUCAUCUAUUCCUUGAUCAGUUGGCUCAUAUGAUGAGUACAUUUGUGAUUCAUCUGCUUCUCCUCUCAAACUGCUCAACACAAUAUCAUAGGCUUCAUUAAUCCUAGUGAACUGCACAUUACAAUUGCUUUCUCUGCAUACAUCAGGAUGAUACUGCAAAGCAAGCUGCCUAAAGGCUUUCUUGACCUCAGAUUCAGAGGCACCAGGCUGGAUCCUAAGGGUCUUGUAAGGAUCCAUCACAGAAGAUGAAGAAGAAACACAGAGAAACCUGACUCUAUCUCCCCUCAUAUUGUUAUUAUUCUUCCUCCUCUUCUUGAUCUGAAACCAAGAAGAUGAAGAACCAGUACAACCAUUNNNUCCCCCAAUCAUUCCAACAGCAGCACAAGCCAUAUUUUCCGAUCACUCUUAGAAGGUAACAACACAAUUCAAGAAAUACCCAGAAAAUCGUCCUUAUAAAUGAUUUAAUGAGAAACAAAAAACCAAGAAAAACAAAACAGUGGGCAAGAAAUGGACGGUUUUGGCUCUUGAGAAAUUGGUAAAGGUGAAAGCUUUCAAUAAUAGAAUAG
rnacentral:misc_RNA from 1 species